rnacentral:rRNA from 1 species
CCUACGGGAGGCAGCAGUGAGGAAUAUUGGUCAAUGGAGGCAACUCUGAACCAGCCAUGCCGCGUGAAGGAUGACGGCCCUAUGGGUUGUAAACUUCUUUUGAAUAGGAAGAAACUUAUCUACGUGUAGAUAACUGACGGUACUAUUAGAAUAAGGAUCGGCUAACUCCGUGCCAGCAGCCGCGGUAAUACGGAGGAUCCAAGCGUUAUCCGGAUUCAUUGGGUUUAAAGGGUCCGUAGGCGGAUCUUUAAGUCAGUGGUGAAAGCCGACAGCUUAACUGUCGAACUGCCAUUGAUACUGGAGAUCUUGAGUACAAAUGAAGUAGGCGGAAUGAGUCAUGUAGCGGUGAAAUGCAUAGAUAUGACUCAGAACACCGAUUGCGAAGGCAGCUUACUAACAUGUAACUGACGCUGAGGGACGAAAGCGUGGGGAGCGAACAGGAUUAGAUACCCUGGUAGUCCACGCCGUAAACGAUCAUCACUCGCUGUUGGCGAUAUACUGUCAGCGGCCAAGCGAAAGUAUUAAGUGAUGCACCUGGGGAGUACGCCGGCAACGGUGAAACUCAAAGGAAUUGACGG